UACGAGGGGGGCAAGCGUUGUUCGGAAUUAUUGGGCGUAAAGGGCGCAUAGGCGGUGCGGUAAGUCACCUGUGAAAAUCUCUGGGCUCAACUCAGAGUCUGCAGGCGAAACUGCCGGUGCUGGAGUAUGGGGAGAGGUGCGUGGAAUUCCCGGGUGUAGCGGUGGAAUGCGUAGAGAUCCGGAAGAACACCAGUGGCGAAGGCGGCCCGCGUGGGCAGUGGCUGACGCUGAAGCGCGACGAGGCGUGGGGAGGCAAACAGGAUAGGAUA
rnacentral:rRNA from 1 species